rnacentral:lncRNA from 1 species
CCAGAGGUCAGUUUUCCACUAGCAGCCUUCAGAUGAAGAUGUAGAACUCUCCUUCUGCACCAUGCCUGCUUAGAGCUGCCAUGUUCCUGCCUUGAUGAUAAUGGACUGAGCCUCUGAACCUGUAAGCCAGCCCCAACUAAAUGUUGUCCUUUAUAAGACUUGCCUCAGUCAUGGUGUCUGUUCACAGCAGUAAAACCCUAACUAAGACAACUCCCCACCCUCCAGCAUUAUAAGCCACUCUCUCUGUGUACAGCUAUGUUCUGGGCUCACAAGGAUAAGAAUUCCACAGACUUCAACUUGCCACUUCCUGACUAAACACUAAACAGGACAUAAAUGAAUUCAACCUCUAUGUUUCUUGUAGGUGGAAGAAAACAAAAAACAAAACAAAACAAAACAAAACACCAGAAAGCAAAGAAAGUGGCGAUCUCUAACUGCACUGGGUGAGGUCUUGGAGUCAGACACAGGGAAUGCUGGAAUGCUACCUAGAGAGCUUUCCUGUGGACAGCCGGGCAGCGGUUAGGAGAUUAAGGCGCACACAGUCCCUAAGGACUGAGGAAGGCUUCGAAGGAGACAGUAUCCAGUGGUAAGGCCCAGAAGCCAGCAACCAGAAAAAAACAGAGCUAUCUAUCCCAUCUUGAGAUGUAUCUUUCAUUUGCAAGCAAAAGCAGAGGACCCUGAAUUCGUGGAAGUGGCGUGAACACUGCCUGGGAAGAGAAAUAUUGAAAGGACAAGUAUUCCACAGAUGUUGGGAUUCUCUGGAUUCAGGCAGCCCUGAAGGAACAGCCUCUGCCUUUGCUGCUCAGAGAUCUCAGAGGAAGGAGAAGCAGCUGGAGCUGACAAAGCAGACCUUGGGUGACGCUCACCUGGGCUGGUGGAGUGGAGGACCCCUGGGGUUCGCUGGCUUGUUCUGA